rnacentral:rRNA from 1 species
UGGGGGAUAUUGCACAAUGGGCGAAAGCCUGAUGCAGCGACGCCGCGUGGGGGAUGAAGGCUUUCGGGUUGUAAACCUCUUUCGCUAUCGAACAAGGCCCGCUUAGGGUGGGUUGAGGGUAGGUGGAGAAGAAGCGCCGGCUAACUACGUGCCAGCAGCCUCGGUAAUACGUAGGGCGCGAGCGUUGUUCGGACUUAUUGGGCGUAAAGGGCUUGUAGGCGGCUUGUUGCGCCUGCUGUGAAAACGCGGGGCGUAACUUCGCGCGUGAUGUGGGUACGGGCAGGCUUGAGUGUGGUAGGGGUGACUGGAAUUCCAGGUGUAGCGGUGGAAUGCGCAGAUAUCUGGAGGAACACCGAUGGCGAAGGCAGGUCACUGGGCCAUUACUGACGCUGAGGAGCGAAAGCAUGGGUAGCGAGCAGG